AUAUAUAUAUAUAUAUAUAUAUAUAUAUAUAUAUAUAUAUAUAUAUAUAUAUAUAUUAGGGUGGUCCACAAGGUAGGGGGUGAAAAAAAAAUUAGGAAUGUCUUUUCUCCCCGGGCAGUUUUAGGUGCCUAUUAUAGAGAAACUUUCGCCUGUUAAGUUUUAUCUCGAUUUAAUAAUAUUUAGUGGUGGCGCAAGACGUGUGAAGUUUAUACCCUGGCCGCGUCUGGGUCCCCCCCAGACAAGGUGACACCGUUUGGGUGUUAGCCGCUCCAAGACGGGGGUGUCAUGUUUGCGAGGCACUCACUGUAGCAGAGUCGUCAGGGACGCCUUCGAAGCCACCGAGAACCUCUUGCUGUGGUCCGCCACAACACCGAGCAAGGACUGGAGCUGCUCGUCCUUCUUCGUGUGGCUUCGGAGGAGCGGGCCCCUUCUUCAGAUGAAUCCUCUUGGGGACGUCCUCAUCUCCCUCAUCCUCAUCGUCAUUUUCCUCCAUCGCCACAGCCAUGGCUUGCUUCGUCUCCACGGGAACCUUGCAGCUGGUCUGAAAGCUGGGUGACCACUGACUACAGCCGCCUGACACACUGUGUCGCUGUGUGUGAGUCAGCCAAUCAAGUUGACUCACACGCAGUGACGCAGUGUGCCAGGCGGCUGCAGUCAGUCGUGAUUGGCUGGUGGCUCACCGAUCUGCUACAACUGUAUAAGAAUAACUGAAGUGAAUGAUGCAAUCACAAUAUGGUGUCAUCAUUCCUUCCCGGGACAAAACAGCCGAAAAUUCAAUCGCCUUGCGCCACCCCUAAAUGUUGUCCAAUUUUGAUGAAAUUUUACUGGGAGAGUUUUCUCCCAGAACGAUGCCGUAAAACGUCCAGGGAGCAAAAGAAAUCAAUAGUUGAUAUAUAUAUAUAUAUAUAUAUAUAUAUAUAUAUAUAUAUAUAUAUAUAUAUAUAUAUAUAUAUAUAUAUUAUAUAUAUAUUGUAUGUGUAUAUCCUGAGUGAAUCUGUAUGUUGGUAUACAUCUGUUAGCAGCAGUGACAGUAUUCAGCACAUUGCGUUCAUCAUUCUCCAGCCUCAAAAACUCUCGCACCGACACAACCAAUGACAAAGUUUGCGUUAAAACUGUUAUUUUGUGACGUCCGUUUGUGUUCUUUGACGCAGCUGUCGGCCAGAAAAUACCAGAGUGCAAUGCGCUGAGUACCAUGGUUUGUGUGUGUGUGUGUGUGUGUAUUACACUGUGGAACCUUGAAAGCUGUUGUGAAAAUAUGAACUAAUAAAAAUUAAAGCAAAAGAAAAUAUUGUGUUUUUCGUGUUCCUCUCCGUGUGUGUGUGUGUGUGUGUGUGUGUGUGUGUGUGUUGUUUCUCUAUUCUUUCAUUCUUCCUGUUCCUUUUGUUAUAUUCUUGUUCUUCCUCCUCCUCUUCUUCUUUGUUCCUCCUCCUCCCCGUCAACAGAAAUCUGGAAAUACAAAAUUCAUCAAUGGGGGACUUGAGAACAUAAAUAAAUGGAAGGAAAUGAAUGGAAACUAUCAAGAGAAGGGAGAGAAGAGGGUGUAGAGGAGAGAGAGAGAGAGAGAGAGAGAGAGAGAGAGAGAGAGAGAGAGAGAGAGAGA